UCGAGGGUGACCUUGGCUGGGGUGGAGGCACCAGACUCUGAAGGACAGAGAGAAGAGUGGGACAGAAGAGGACUACCUGAGCGCCCUCACCAGGAGCAGGUAGACACCCAGAUGGCCUCCCACUCUCCACUCCAUCAGCAGACAGGACAAGUUUGAACCAGAUGUGCCUGAACCCCACAACUCCAGGCAUAUCCAGAGUGGGGCUGGGGGAAGCAACUCAGCAGGAGGAAAUCGGGUAGACUCUAUGUACUUAAGACGUGACCUGCACCCCACCUCCACCCCUCCAGGCUCUCUCCCUUCUCUCAGCACCUCCAAGCAGGAAAAGAUCUGCAGACCUGACAUUUAGAAGUUCCCUCCAUCAUGCUGCAGUGACAGUCACCCAGUGAUAAGCUCUCCCACACACACAGAGCUUCCAAAUAUCUGUUGCUAACUGACAUCUGAAAAACGAACAGAGAUCCCACUAGAACAAAGAAAGCCCUAACGUGAAAGACAAAGACACGACCAUCCUAACCAAUCCAACAAGCAGAUUAAAAAAGCAGAGAAAACAAAGUAUGGAUCAGAAGAAGACUUUUUCAAAAUCUAUAAUGUCUCAGAACAUACAUUUUAAUGAACACCGGCUCAGGAGUGUGUGUGUGUGUGUGUGUGUGUGUGUAAAUAUUUAGAGAACAGAAAUGAAAUUUUUUUAAUGUGAUGAGAAAAAUAAAACUCUCAAAAGUGGAAAAUAAGUCUAAGAAAGCAAAGCAAAGAAUUUAUCAGAGAAAGAAGAACAAAUAGACAAAGAAGUGGAACAUAGGAGAGGAAAGGAAAGAAAAUUAGAGAAUUAUUCCAGGAGGCCCAUCAUCCCAAUAAUAGGAGUUUCAAAAAAAGAAAAAGAAGAAAAUGUUUCCAAACUAAAGUACAGGAAUCUCACAUAAAGAGGGCUCAGCAAGUGCUUAGAGUGAUGGCUAGGAGAAUAGCCAUUGCAAGCCCAGCAUGGAAGGAUGCCAGGUUGGGGAUGGGGUGGUGAUGCCAGGACAGGGAUGGGGAGGUGACUCUAGGAUGGAGCUGGAGAGGUGAUCCUAAAUGCUUUCAGGUGGAGUGCAAGAAGAUGCUAAAUCAGAUAUCAGAUGCGUCAGACUUCUAGACAACAGAAAGGGAAGCUUGAAGGCAAGAGAACAAUGCUGUCAACAUUUUAAGGAAAGUGAUUUUCAAUUUAGAACUUUCAAUUUUGUCCUUCAAAUCUCAACUUCCUGUUCAUAUUUCCAUUUUUCUAUCUGUUGUGCUAUAUUCUGCAUAAGUUACCUUUAAAUGGGAACUGCUCAUUCUAGUUGCUGAGUUGAGCUAACUUUGUUAUAAUGAGGUUAUAUCUAUUCUAUAGUUAAGAUAUCCACUGAGAUUUUUAUUUCACUCACUAUACUUUCCAUUUCCCAAUGUUCUACUCCAUUCUUUCUGAAUCUGCCUUGUUUUCUUGGUAGCAUCUUGUGCUCAUUUCCUUGUUUUAUAUCUGUAAUCAUUGUAAACAUACCUGUUAAAAGCCAUCAUCUGAUAAUCCUAUUACCUAGGGUUCUUAGGGAUCCAAUUCCUCUGAUUGUUGGGUCUGCUGGUGGAUUGUUUCCUUGUGUGAUUUAUAAUUUUGGAUUGUGAGUUCAUUUUCAGUAGGACUCUAUCUGUGAGAAUCUUUUGUGCUUGAGCUGAAGCUGUCUUUACUGAGAGAUUUUGUGUUUGCAAGACUCUCAGUUGUCUUGCCAGCCUGUGAUCAUUUUUGUGCUAAUUCUGUGGCUCUGUGGGUCCUGGACUAUGCAGGGAGUAUAAAUUCAAAUCCAAAACCUGAACAAGACAGACCCAUCAUUACAAGCUCUUAAGAGGCAUUCCCUUCUCCUCUCCUCUCUUUCUCUUCUCUUCUCUUUUUUUUUUUCUCCUGGCAUGGACUGAGAUAGAUAUGCUUUCAGGUCAUCUUCCUCUGCUGGUGGGUAAAUAUUUCCUCUCAGGGUGGCCCUUCAAGGAUUUUGCUUAUAAUAUCCUGCCUCACUUGGGCCCCUGAGCUUAUCUUCUGUCUCUGGAGUGUUCAACUCCAGGUCCCUGGGUGCCAAUAUUAAUGCAAUCCCCAAGUCAAUCUAAGCCCAGCCGAUGUUCACUAUUCAGGCUUUAUUUCCCUCUUCUUUUGGCCCCUGGAGAUUUUGUCUCCUUUCUUCUUGUAUGUUUAGCUAGUUAUUUAAAAGGAGUCUCACAUUUUAUCCAACACUUCUAGCUGUACGGUAGGAAUGUUUUCAUGUUUAGUCCAUGCAACUGGCAGCAAAGAAUGCCUCCUCCAAGCUAGAACUCAACAUCCAGCCAAAUGAGCAGGCCUGGGUUGGGUGGAAUCACAUUGAAUCAUAAUGAUGUACAAACAGUGGAUUUUGAUUUCAUUGUAAAUGAUGACAUAACUCUAUAGGGUGGCUGUGGGUGUGGCUGGGGCUGUUAUGAAAGCCCUAAAUCUUCAUCUUCCCUAGUUGGGAAUAAAUACAUAAAAUCUUAAACAAAAAUUCAAACAAACAUCAGUGUAAGCAUGUGAUGGGGAGAAUACUGGAAGAAAGUGCUGCAAGACUGGAGUGUGACUGCCUGCGGUGUGAGACCUGGAUUUAGGGGAUGAGCAGGUGGGAGAGCAGGGCUUCAUGCGUUGUGUUUUCUUGCCCGGAGUUUUUCACUUUUUGCACUGUGUGCAUUUACUGAUUUGGUGAGACACAGACAAUAAAAACGGAAGCUUGAAGGCAAGAGAACAAUGCUGUCAACAUUCUAAGGAAAGUGAUUUUCAAUCUAGAACUCCUUUUAAUUUUGUCCGUCAAAUCUCAACUUCCUGUUCAUGUAUCCAUCUUCUAUCUCUUUGUGGUAUAUUCAGC
rnacentral:lncRNA from 10 species